UCUUAUGGAUGAGUAAAGAAAGUAGUUUCUUGAGCUGGAAUCUACUCCUGGAGAAGAUGCUGUGAA
rnacentral:pre_miRNA from 1 species